UACGGAGGGUGCGAGCGUUGUCCGGAAUCACUGGGCGUAAAGGGCGCGUAGGCGGCUUGGUAGGUCCGCUGUGAAAACUCGAGGCUCAACCUCGAGAUGUCGGCGGAAACCACUUGGCUAGAGUCCGGAAGAGGAGAGUGGAAUUCCAGGUGUAGCGGUGAAAUGCGUAGAUAUCUGGAGGAACACCGGUGGCGAAGGCGGCAUCCUGGACCGGUAUUGACGCUGAGGCGCGAAAGCUAGGGGAGCAAACGGG
rnacentral:rRNA from 1 species